UACGUAGGCAGCGAGCGUUUGUUCGGAGUUACUGGGCGUAAAGGGUGUGUAGGCGGUUGUUUUAAGUUUGGUGUGAAAUCUCCCCGGCUCAACUGGGAGGGUGCGCCGAAUACUGAAUGACUUGGAGUGCGGGAGAGGAGAGUGGAAUUCCUGGUGUAGCGGUGAAAUGCGUAGAUAUCAGGAGGAACACCGGUGGUGUAGACGGCUCUCUGGACCGUAACUGACGCUGAGACACGAAAAGCGUGGGUAGCAAACAGG
rnacentral:rRNA from 1 species